rnacentral:rRNA from 1 species
GACGAACGCUGGCGGCGUGCUUAACACAUGCAAGUCGAACGGAAAGGCUCCAGCUUGCUGGAGUACUCGAGUGGCGAACGGGUGAGUAACACGUGGGUGAUCUGCCCUGCACUUCGGGAUAAGCCUGGGAAACUGGGUCUAAUACCGGAUAGGACCGCACUUUGGUGUGUGUGGUGGAAAGGUUUUUCUGGUGUGGGAUGAGCUCGCGGCCUAUCAGUUUGUUGGUGGGGUAAUGGCCUACCAAGACGGCGACGGGUAGCCGGCCUGAGAGGGUGGACGGUCACAUUGGGACUGAGAUACGGCCCAGACUCCUACGGGAGGCAGCAGUGGGGAAUAUUGCACAAUGGGGGAAACCCUGAUGCAGCGACGCCGCGUGGGGGAUGAAGGCCUUCGGGUUGUAAACUCCUUUCGCUAGGGACGAAGCUUUUUGUGACGGUACCUGCAGAAGAAGCACCGGCUAACUACGUG